rnacentral:lncRNA from 1 species
CAGUAAGCCACACCUGCAUCAACUUUUCAGAAAGGCAAAGAUUGUCCUGUAGCACUUAAAGCUAUACUUCUAUGGUGGAAAAGAAAUUCUGAACUUUACAGUUUGAUGAUUAUGCACAACAAAAGAAUACACAGUACCAUCAGAGCUCAGGACAAUUAACAGGAUGUAUUUAGAAUAUUUUUAAUAUGCUAAUCUUUUCUUUUGCUUGAAGCAGCAUUCCCCCUUCAGAGGAAGAGAAAUCAUGCUGAGACAACUCACUACUGCAAAUUAAUGAAGUGACUGCAUACAACUCUUUAUUUACGUAAAAUAUAGUUGGUGGAGGGGGAGAUGACAAUUUGAACAAAGUUCCUCCUCGYCUGGAUUGUCAACUGACUCUGCCUUUGGAUCUCACGUGAAUAAAACCCAGCUGGAAUCCAGUCCUGGUGAACAGGGAGUGAAACAGUGUGUCAUCAGAGCCAUAUUUGGUACAGAGCUCUAUGUUACUGCAGCUGUGCUUCUUCUGGAAGAAAAGGACAAAAAGAAGCAGAAUAGUAUUCAGAAGAGAAACUGAGGGAGAGAGAAAAUGAAGUUCCAUUUUCAAAAUGGCAAAAAUAAGAUGUAAGAAAUCCUUACGGUAAGU